rnacentral:rRNA from 1 species
UACAGAGGUGGCAAGCGUUGUUCGGAAUUACUGGGCGUAAAGGGCGCGUAGGCGGCCAACUAAGUCGGAUGUGAAAUCCCCAGGCUUAACCUGGGAACUGCAUCCGAUACUGGAUGGCUUGAAUCCGGGAGAGGGAUGCAGAAUUCCAGGUGUAGCGGUGAAAUGCGUAGAUAUCUGGAGGAAUACCGGUGGCGAAGGCGGCAUCCUGGACCGGCAUUGACGCUGUGGAGCGAAAGCUAGGGGAGCAAACGGG